rnacentral:rRNA from 1 species
AUACGUAGGGUGCGAGCGUUGUCCGGAAUUACUGGGCGUAAAGAGCUCGUAGGUGGUUUGUCGCGUCGUCUGUGAAAUUCCGGGGCUUAACUCCGGGCGUGCAGGCGAUACGGGCAUAACUUGAGUACUGUAGGGGAGACUGGAAUUCCUGGUGUAGCGGUGAAAUGCGCAGAUAUCAGGAGGAACACCGGUGGCGAAGGCGGGUUUCUGGGCAGUAACUGACGCUGAGGUGCGAAAGCAUGGGUAGCGAACAGGAUUAGAUACCCUGGUAGUCCAUGCCGUAAACGGUGGGCGCUAGGUGUAGGGGUCUUCCACGACUUCUGUGCCGUAGCUAACGCAUUAAGCGCCCCGCCUGGGGAGUACGGCCGCAAGGCUAAAACUCAAAGGAAUUGACGGGG